rnacentral:rRNA from 1 species
UACGUAGGGGGCAAGCGUUGUCCGGAAUCAUUGGGCGUAAAGAGCGUGUAGGCGGCCCGAUAAGUCGGUUGUGAAAGUCAAGGGCUCAACCCUUGAAUGCCGACCGAUACUGUCGGGCUAGAGUCCGGAAGAGGUGAGUGGAAUUCCUGGUGUAGCGGUGAAAUGCGCAGAUAUCAGGAGGAACACCAAUUGCGAAGGCAGCUCGCUGGGACGUAACUGACGCUGAGACGCGAAAGCGUGGGGAGCAAACAGG